rnacentral:SRP_RNA from 1 species
GUUGGGCACGGUGGCGCGUACCUGUAGUCCCAGCUACUCAGGAGGCUGAGGUAGGAGGAUCACUUGAGCCCAGGAGUUGUGGGCUGUAGUGUCUUACGCUGAUCGGGUGUCUGCACUAAGUUUGGCAUCAAUAUGGUGACCUCCCGGGAGUGGGGGACCACCAGGUUGCCUAAGGAGGGGUGAACCAGUCCAGGUGGGAAAUGGAGCAGGUCAAAACUCCCAUGCUGAUCAGUAGUGGGAUUGCACCUGUGAAGAGCCAGUGCACUCCAACCUGAGCAACAUAGCAAGACCCUGUCUCU